AAACCGCUCAGGGGUAAACCUGCGAAACUCGAAUGAACGAACGGGGAGAUUCAUCGUUAUUCCGCGGCGUGGCGUCGCACCGAUCGAUACUCACGAUUUCGAUCGUGCGGUACGCGGUGUGUUACGUUUCAACGUUCACGGACGGCGUGCACUUCUCCCUUAGUAAUACAUCGCGACCCGUUCGAUGUCGGUCUAAGCUCCGUUCGGGAGUCGCUGUCUCAUCUCGCAAGGGAUGCGGGCGGCGACCGUGACGGUUGCCGACCGGCUGUCGGACGGUAUUUUAACGGAUCGCGUACGCGUUUAUGCGCGUCCGGCCCGACGCAAGGUGAAUGCGUCUGUCACGCCCGUCCUGCCCGAGUGCGGGCGGGGGUGCGGCGCGCCUGUCGUCGCAGCCGUGCUGUCUCGGACUGUGCGCGUACC
rnacentral:rRNA from 1 species